rfam:Paenibacillaceae bacterium GAS479 genome assembly, chromosome: I
AGGUAAUGCCUCUUGCACCUUUAUCAGCAGAGGUACUCGGUCAUGCUGUGGGCCAGCGGCCUUAGACGUUAAUCGUCAGGGGCAUGAUGUGAGGUGGGGUUGGAUGCCCU